rnacentral:miRNA from 1 species
CUUGGUGCUGUCAGUGGGUGCGA